CAUGGUAAAUCAAGAGUAUUGAUAAGAUUGAAUCUGAUGUGACGGUUUUCUUUAAUAGUAUAAAUAAAUAAAUAAUUAUAAAGUGAGCUUCUUUGAAACUGAAAUUUUAGAGCAAUGAGGCUUGUAUUUUUUAGGCGAAAGUGUAAUCUCCACGACAUGUUUAAAGUAUAUAAAGGCCUUGAGUCUUUUGAGAAAGACUUCGCUUAUGCAAACUUUGGGGAAUCAUCACUUCAUUCUUUGAGUUUCUUGCCUUUUUGGUGUUUGUCUCAUCUUCUUCCAAAGUUCAUCAAUUUCCUUCUUUUUUUCUUGAUACGUUAGCUAGCAGGUUUGACUGGUAUAACUUUCUCCAAGAGUUGGAUAGAGAGGACGCCCUAUCCAUAAAAAGGCAAAAUGUUGGUGGUGGGGUUGACAUUGCUGCCAUGCAAUCAAGACAACGCCAACUCCUACUCUAACAACCACUCUAAUGGUUGUUGUUAUGUUAACUGUUGCAGCCCCUUAUGCCCUUACUAUGCUUAUUUCAACUAUGCUUAUUUCUUUAUCACUGUUCCUUAUGCCCUACACUAGCUAUUGACACUCCUCCUUCAACUAUGCUUAUUUCUCUAUCAUUGUCCCUUGUGACUGUCUUUGCGACGAACCAACUUGGAGGCGCUACUAAUGAUACUGCUUCCACAGAGGCCUUUUCUGUAGUUUAAGGGUCAUAAUGUUAAAAAGAAGAUACGGAGGUUCAGAAAAAGUCAUUUUGUGAUGUCUCCAUCAGGAGUAUUCCCAUGACGUAGUCAUUUGUUUAUUGAUAAGUUUCCACGAAUUUUCCAUAUUUAGUUAUUUAGGGAAACCAUUAAACAAAUGUGUUAAAAUGUGAACAUGAUUAAAAAGAGCAGCUUGAGUAAAAAAAAGUUAACGAGUCAAUUUUAUUCUUGAAUACUUGAUGUGAAGAAUUUAUUGUUGCAUUUACUAAAUUUGUUGAUUUAAA